GACGAACGCUGGCGGCGUGCUUAACACAUGCAAGUCGAACGAAGAGCGAUGGACGCUUGCUUCUAUCAAUCUUAGUGGCGCACGGGUGAGUAACGCGUAAUCAACCUGCCCUUCAGAGGGGGACAACAGUUGGAAACGACUGCUAAUACCGCAUACGAUCUAAUCUCGGCAUCGAGGAUAGAUGAAAGGUGGCCUCUACAUGUAAGCUAUCACUGAAGGAGGGUAUUGCGUCUGAUUAGCUAGUUGGGGGGGUAACGGCCCACCAAGGCGAUGAUCAGUAGCCGGUCUGAGAGGAAGAACGGCCACAUUGGGAAUGAGAAACGGCCCAGACUCCUACGGGAGGCAGCAGUGGGGAAUCGUCCGCAAUGGACGAAAGGCUGACGGAGCAACGCCGCGUGAGGGAUGACGGCCUUCGGGUUGUAAAGCUCUGUUAAUCGGGACGAAAGGCCUUCUUGCGAAUAGUGAGAAGGAUUGACGGUACCGGAAUAGAAAGCCACGGCUAACUACGUG
rnacentral:rRNA from 1 species